rnacentral:rRNA from 1 species
AUUGAACGCUGGCGGCAGGCCUAGCACAUGCAAGUCGAGCGGAUGAAGGGAGCUUGCUCCUGGAUUCAGCGGCGGACGGGUGAGUAAUGCCUAGGAAUCUGCCUGGUAGUGGGGGAUAACGUCCGGAAACGGGCGCUAAUACCGCAUACGUCCUGAGGGAGAAAGUGGGGGAUCUUCGGACCUCACGCUAUCAGAUGAGCCUAGGUCGGAUUAGCUAGUUGGUGGGGUAAAGGCCUACCAAGGCGACGAUCCGUAACUGGUCUGAGAGGAUGAUCAGUCACACUGGAACUGAGACACGGUCCAGACUCCUACGGGAGGCAGCAGUGGGGAAUAUUGGACAAUGGGCGAAAGCCUGAUCCAGCCAUGCCGCGUGUGUGAAGAAGGUCUUCGGAUUGUAAAGCACUUUAAGUUGGGAGGAAGGGCAGUAAGUUAAUACCUUGCUGUUUUGACGUUACCAGCAGAAUAAGCACCGGCUAACUUCGUG